rnacentral:rRNA from 1 species
AGAGUUUGAUCCUGGCUCAGGAUGAACGCUAGCGACAGGCUUAACACAUGCAAGUCGAGGGGCAGCAUAAUGGAUAGCAAUAUCUAUGGUGGCGACCGGCGCACGGGUGCGUAACGCGUAUGCAACCUACCUUUAACAGGGGGAUAACACUGAGAAAUUGGUACUAAUACCCCAUAAUAUCAUAGAAGGCAUCUUUUAUGGUUGAAAAUUCCGAUGGUUAGAGAUGGGCAUGCGUUGUAUUAGCUAGUUGGUGGGGUAACGGCUCACCAAGGCGACGAUACAUAGGGGGACUGAGAGGUUAACCCCCCACACUGGUACUGAGACACGGACCAGACUCCUACGGGAGGCAGCAGUGAGGAAUAUUGGUCAAUGGACGCAAGUCUGAACCAGCCAUGCCGCGUGCAGGAUGACGGCUCUAUGAGUUGUAAACUGCUUUUGUACGAGGGUAAACGCAGAUACGUGUAUCUGUCUGAAAGUAUCGUACGAAUAAGGAUCGGCUAACUCCGUGCCAGCAGCCGCGGUAAUACGGAGGAUUCAAGCGUUAUCCGGAUUUAUUGGGUUUAAAGGGUGCGUAGGCGGUUUGAUAAGUUAGAGGUGAAAUUUCGGGGCUCAACCCUGAACGUGCCUCUAAUACUGUUGAGCUAGAGAGUAGUUGCGGUAGGCGGAAUGUAUGGUGUAGCGGUGAAAUGCUUAGAGAUCAUACAGAACACCGAUUGCGAAGGCAGCUUACCAAACUAUAUCUGACGUUGAGGCACGAAAGCGUGGGGAGCAAACAGGAUUAGAUACCCUGGUAGUCCACGCAGUAAACGAUGAUAACUCGUUGUCGGCGAUACACAGUCGGUGACUAAGCGAAAGCGAUAAGUUAUCCACCUGGGGAGUACGUUCGCAAGAAUGAAACUCAAAGGAAUUGACGGGGGCCCGCACAAGCGGAGGAACAUGUGGUUUAAUUCGAUGAUACGCGAGGA